CCGCUCACUGCGGUCAAAGUUCAACAUGGUUCAAUUUUGACCGGCAAGCGGUACCGCGGCAGAUAACGCAUGCCGUGACUCGGCUCACGAGACCAGGGAGAAACUGUAGUGCAAACUACUAUAAACACAGCAGGUGACGCACCCACGAAUGGCCAGCGUCCAGCACCCUAGAAAACUCCGCCUAUAAUCAGCAGGUGACGCUUAGCAACCACAACUGACCAGCGUCCAGCAGCCGGCAGAGCGGAAAGCAGCGUGGCAUACCAUAUUUAGUAUGUUUUCACAGCAGGAGCAGCUGAAGCUGCUUAUGCAGAUGAACUCCAACCAACUGACAAACUGCAAAUGUAAUGAACAUUUAGGAGUGAGUGGCAGGCUGCAGUAGAAGCAGUCUGU
rnacentral:lncRNA from 1 species